GGAACUAGCCAUACACCUGAGUUCCCCUUACGGAGUCUUCUGUUUUCUCAGGAGGUGGGCACAGCUGGGUGGUGUUGCUCUAUGGUAGAACAACAUGUACCUCAGAAUGCCAUCAUGAGGAUUAAGAUGCAGCCUAUACACCAAGAAGCUGUCUUCAGGACACCUCCAGGACAAAAACCAGGAAUGCCUACAAGGGGUACUGCAGGAAAACGGGAAGAGAGAAGUGCUGGGAAUGCAGGUAUGGUGGCAAGACUCUGACUCCAAAUAGUAAUAAUAACGUACAAAACUGGUAAAUGUCAGGAGAAUUUAAGUAAACUAGAUAUUUAAAAAUAAUGGCACCAUAUUACACUAUUACACUACAUACAGAAUUACCCAAAGUCUCUUUUUUUAUUCAGAUAAAAAGAGUUUACAGCAAUCUGAGGUAAUCACAAAAUACAAUCCUUUGGACAUUUUCAGCAAGAGGAAAUUUUAGUUGGAGAGUUUCUGGAUCACCUUGCUCUAAAUCUUAUGAAUUUUAUUUUCCUUUAUUAUAAC